CUCGUUCCUCCCACACCUAGUAACUUCUUGUCCGUAAAUUCCGGGAAGACGAAAAGUUGAGGUUUGUUUUUUCGCCACUGCGAAAUUCUCGCUGCUAUCAAACCGUAGGUUUCAGUUUCUUCACCGGCGAAACGAUCUUCCGUUGUGACCUGAUCAAUUUCACGGGUUCCGAUAGCCACAUAUUCGAAUCCGACGAGCCAGUUGGAUCCGAGCCUUCAGACGGCGCGUUCAAAUUCCAAGUCUCAUCACCUUCCGGAAAUCGUUCACAUUUUGUUGUCAUGGAUGAAUUGGGGAUGCCAAGCAGAAUGUUUGAAACAGGGUUUGAGCCGAUGGGGAAGAAGCGGGUGAAUAAUUAUUUCAACUUACGGUGGAUCGAGCUUAUAAAGUCUGCAUUGGAUGAUGAUCAGUUGGCGCAGUUGAAUGCUUCACAUUUUCUGAUUUGAUUUCGAUGACGUGUAGUAUCGGAUGAAACUUCACGGAGGCUAGUUAGUUUGCUUCUCUUAGAUUUUUUUAAUAUGCUUCCAUACGUCAUCGUGUGUGUCCGAAUCAGUUUUAGUAAACUAUGGUAACCACAAGUUUGUGAGUUUAUUGUAUGAAAAUGUUGUUUCUAUUUCAUUUUUAAAGCUAGUCCAUAUGAGUGAGUAUGAA